GAUGAACGCUGGCGGCGUGCCUAAUACAUGCAAGUCGAGCGAAUGGAUUAAGAGCUUGCUCUUAUGAAGUUAGCGGCGGACGGGUGAGUAACACGUGGGUAACCUGCCCAUAAGACUGGGAUAACUCCGGGAAACCGGGGCUAAUACCGGAUAUUAUUUUGAACUGCAUGGUUCAAAAUUGAAAGGCGGCUUCGGCUGUCACUUAUGGAUGGACCCGCGUCGCAUUAGCUAGUUGGUGAGGUAACGGCUCACCAAGGCAACGAUGCGUAGCCGACCUGAGAGGGUGAUCGGCCACACUGGGACUGAGACACGGCCCAGACUCCUACGGGAGGCAGCAGUAGGGAAUCUUCCGCAAUGGACGAAAGUCUGACGGAGCAACGCCGCGUGAGUGAUGAAGGCUUUCGGGUCGUAAAACUCUGUUGUUAGGGUAGAACAAGUGCUCGUUGAAUAAGCUGACACCUUGACGGUACCUAACCAGAAAGCCACGGCUAACUACGUGCCAGCCGCCGCAGUAA
rnacentral:rRNA from 1 species